rnacentral:rRNA from 1 species
UGUCUAAGUAUAAAUGACUUUAUACAGUGAAACUGCGAAUGGCUCAUUAAAUCAGUUAUAGUUUAUUUGAUAAUCCCUUGCUACUUGGAUAACCGUGGUAACAUAGAGCUAAUACAUGCGCAAAAACCCUUUAACGGGUUGUAUUUAUUAGAUACAAAACCAAUACACUUCGGUGUCAACUUGGUGAGUCAUGAUAACUUUUCGGAUCGCAUGGCCUUGCGCUGGCGAUGAAUCAUUCAAAUUUCUGCCCUAUCAACUGUCGAUGGUUGUGUAGUGGACAACCAUGGUUUUCACGGGUAACGGAGAAUUAGGGUUCGGUUCCGGAGAGGGAGCCUGAGAAACGGCUACCAUAUCCAAGGAUAGCAGCAGGCGCGCAAAUUACCCAAUCCUGACACAGGGAGGUAGUGACAAUAAAUAACGACGCCGGGCCCUACGGGUCUAGUGAUCGGAAUGAGUGCAAUUUAAAACUCUCAACGAGGAGCAAUUGGAGGGCAAGUCUGGUGCCAGCAGCCGCGGUAAUUCCAGCCCCAAUAGCGUAUAUUAAAGUUGUUGCGGUUAAAAAGCUCGUAGUUGGAUUUCUGUGGGUCUUUCGAGGCGGUCCGUUUUUAACGUGUUACUGUUUCGGGCCCACUUUCUGUCUGGAGAUUGGCCUGUUCUUCUUCAUUGGGGACAGGUUGAGUUCUAGGACUUUUACUUUGAGCAAAUUAGAGUGUUUAAAGCAGGCUUUGCAGUUUUGAAUACAUUAGCAUGGAAUAACCACAUAGGACAUUGGUCUUAUUUUGUUGGUUUUAGCGAUCGAUGUAAUAAUUAAGAGGGACCGUUGGGGGCGUUAAUAUUUAAGCGUCAGAGGUGAAAUUCUUAGAUUGCUUAAAGAUUAACUACUGCGAAAGCAUCCGUCAAGGAGGUUUUCAUUGAUCAAGAACGAAAAUGCAAGGAUCGAAGACGAUCAGAUACCGUCGUAGUCUGCAUUGUAAACUAUACCACUUUGGGAUUGGAAGACUGUUACUUUCAUGACUCCUUCAGCACCAUUCGAGAAAUCAAAAGUUUUGGGUUCCGGGGGGAGUAUGGUCGCAAGGCUGAAACUUAAAGGAAUUGACGGAAGAACACCACCAGGAUUGGAACUUGCGGCUUAAUUUGACUCAACACGGGAAAACUUACCAGGUCCAGACUUUAUAAGGAUUGACAGAUUGAGAGCUCUUUCUUGAUUUAAAGAUUGGUGGUGCAUGGCCGUUCUUAGUUGGUGGAGUGAUUUGUCUGCUUAAUUGCGAGAACGAACGAGACCUCAGCCUACUAAAUAGUUACGCAAUGUUUUGCCAUUGUGGUCAACUUCUUAGAGGGACUUUUGCGUGUUUUAACCAAAGGAAGUUUGAGGCAAUAACAGGUCUGUGAUGCCCUUAGAUGUUCUGGGCUGCACGCGCGUUACACUGAUGGAUGCAACGAGUUUAUAACCUUGACGGAGACGUCUGGGUAAUCUGUAAACAUCCAUCGUGAUGGGGAUAGUUCAUUGAAAUUGUUGAACUUGAACGAGGAAUUCCUUGUAAGCGCGAGUCAUUAGCUCGCAUUGAAUACGUCCCUGUUCUUUGUACACACCGCCCGUCGCUCCUACCGAUUGAAUGGCCCGGUGAGACGGCAGGACUCUGAGUUUGGAGUGGCAACACUCUGGCUUGUGGGGAAUGCCAUCUAAUCUUGUUAUUCAGAGGAAGGAGAAGUCGC